rnacentral:lncRNA from 1 species
GAGUCGUGUUCCGUGUUUCCUCUUCAUCCACCAAGUCUGUCUAAUAGAAUUAGAUUGCACAGACCAGUCUUGCCAUCCUGACGCCUUAUUUCAUGGUUCCUGAAUGACACUGUGUGAUGAACCCAAAGAUGCGAGAAUUCUAUGACUAGGCUUCAUUUGUGUAGAAAAAAGCCCUUAACAACUACUUGAUCCCUCCUCUCUCUGUCUUUCUCUCUCCAGAUUCCUCAACCUCAGCACUGUUGACAUUUCGGGCUGGAAGAGUCCUUGUUGUGAAGGGCUAUCCUGUGCAUUGUAGGAAGUUUAAUGGCAUCCCUGGACGCGAAACACUGGCUGCCAGUAACACCUCCCCCUCCCAGUUGUGUUUCCCAGAAGGAAUGGUAGCCUGGCUCAGGGCCCAGGAGAAGGAGUGUCAAGGGCCAGCAGCUGGUCAGACGUAGCCUCCUGCGGGGUCUCCCUGAAGAUGGAAAAAUGCAGCAAAAGAAGAAAGGGUAAGAGUACACCAUGGUCUAAUUAGCAUUUGCUUCUUGUGGCCCUGGAAAUGUCAGUCACCAGUUGGUAGCAAAAUAAAGAUAUAAUGUUAGUGAUAAUGAAUUAAAUU